GGCUAUUGCCCAGUGGUUAGGGCACUUGCCUAGCAAGCAGGAGGUCCUAGGUUCACUCCCCAGUAUUGCCA
rnacentral:tRNA from 1 species